rnacentral:lncRNA from 1 species
AUGGUCUUCAGUCCAUGCAGGGGGUGGGGUGGGGGGAGCGCGGUGGUGAUCAAUGGGCCUAGUCCAGAAGACUCUGUCUGUAUGUCCCAUAGGGAGGUCACAAAGAAGUCCUUAUUGAGGGCAGAUAUCUGGACUCACCACAUUCAGUAACUGGGAGAGAGCUGAGAACUGGAAAUUUGCCCAUAAGAUGUGAAGGUGAAGGCCUGUUGACUUCAGCAGUGAAGUUUCAUCAUCUCAGUUUUCUGAUUCCUACAUCACAGCUUUCUGUCACCAGGAAAAGGAGAACAAGAAGUCAAGUAUUCUUGAACUCAUUGUUUCAUUAGUGACUUCAGAGAUAGUGGCUUCCCUGGCUCACCUCUCAUGUUUACAUACAUCAUGAGUGGCAUCAAGUCAUAUCCUUGACUUUAGGAUAUCUGAACCUUUGGAAAUUGUAACUAGAAGUCUUAAAACAUUAGCUACGUAUUGAUUCUCUCACCUUCAGAAAAAUGGAAUGUCCUCUUUCAUAAGAGGUGGAGUUUUCCCAUGUUGCCCAUGCUGGUCUGGAACUCCUGAGCACAGGUGAUCCACCCGCUUCUGCCUCCCAAAGUGCUGGAAUUACAGGCAUGAGUGACUGCGCCUGACCCAUUUCCUUGUUUCUCUUUUCUUUGUUUUUCCCACCUCCCGUAGAAACAACUGAAGAACAGCAGAAUACAACUAUUCGUUCCCUAGGGCGCCUAAAUUUCCCAGUGUUCCUUUAGAAUCUGAUGAGAUGAGGUUUAGAUCUGAUGACCAUCAAAAGUAAUUGGAUUCUUUACAUUGAUUAUAUUAUAGAAUUGUUUUCAGAAAAGAUAGUCAAGAAAUUUUAGGAAAUGUAAUAUAUAACUAAUUGGUAUAGCCUAUAUGCUGUACCAAUAGGAUAUAUAAUAAGAUAUAUAAGCAACGGUUCAUUAAACCAUCUAAAACUUAGGACUCAGGCCAAUCUUUUAAAUCAUUAGGGAUAUUCUCGGCAUGGACCUCAAGAGAUAGAAAAUAAAAAUAUGAAAUAUAUACUGGCUUUACUGAAUUUUUCUGACUAUAAAGUUCUAUAAUGUUAUAUAAGACUUUUUGUAUUUUUAUUGACACAUAUUCUUCCAAUGGGUAUCUGAU